GAAAAUUGGAAUGGCACAGAGAAGAUUAGCAUGGCCCCUGCACAACGAUGACAUGCAAAUUCUUGAAGCAUUCCAUAAAAAA
ensembl:snRNA U6 U6 spliceosomal RNA